ACAGAGGGUGCGAGCGUUGUCCGGAAUCACUGGGCGUAAAGGGCGCGUAGGCGGCUCGGUAAGCGUGUGGUGAAAGCCCGGGGCUCAACCCCGGGUCGGCCAUGCGAACUGUCGAGCUGGAGCACGGUAGAGGCACAUGGAAUUCCGGGUGUAGCGGUGGAAUGCGUAGAGAUCCGGAAGAACACCGGUGGCGAAGGCGGUGUGCUGGGCCGUAGCUGACGCUGAGGCGCGACAGCGUGGGGAGCAAACAGGAUUAGAUACCCUGGUAGUCCACGCCGUAAACGAUGGGCACUAGGUCCUUGGGGGAGCGACCCCGUGAGGGCCGGCGCUAACGCAUUAAGUGCCCCGCCUGGGGAGUACGGCCGCAAGGCUG
rnacentral:rRNA from 1 species